GUUCCCACUAUGUUUAUCAAUUGCCUACUGUUCCCAUAUUCUGUAAGUGUGUAACUGUCCGUGUGUUCCCAUAUUCUGUAAGAGUACAUCUGUCCGUGUGUUCCCGAAUGCGAAAACAAUAAGAGCUAGAGACUUUAAAUUGGGAACGUACUUUUGAAUCAAAGCCUAUAUCUAAGAUUGUUAUUUUUUUUUUUUGUCAGCUCCGGAGGAUAUGGCAAAUAAAUAGUGGGAUGUUUAAGAUAAAGCUCGAGCGAAGUCAAGAAGAAACUCUUAAUCAAUUAGUUUUGUCAUUACAGAUGUUGAAGUUCGAUUAGGAUAGAUAAAAUAUAAAAAACCUCCUUUUCAGGGUGUUUAUUGCAAAAUAGAAAUUCGAGUACUGAAAUCGUAUACUCUAUUUGGCAUUUGGUUGCAGCUAAGAACAAUGUUUAUGCCUGGCAAAGUGUUUUGCGGUUUCGGUUGACAAGUUAGCGAGAAUUCAGAAGUUGAGAAAAUCUUGUAUAUAUUGGGGAAGAAUUCCUGAAGAUGAUUUCUAAUUUAUGAGUCACGCAAUGAGAUCAAUUAGAUACGUUUAUUGGUUCUGUAUAUGCUUGAAAAUGUUGAAAUUUCCAAUUAAGUUCAGGCAAUUGGCACCUGGUGCUAAAUUUGUUAACAAGCUCUGCGCAGCCAUGAAAAGAAGCAAGGCCAAUAAGUAAGCAUAAUAAUAAUAAAGAAAACAUUUGAUUGUCAAUAUCGUAAGUUUCCCACAGCUGUCUGACUAAUAUAAUUUAUGUCAUUGUCCGCGCUCGAAAUAUUUAUAUACAUUUUUUUUUUUUUUUUUGGGAUGAAUUGACGUAGCUGCCUCUGACGGGGCAUAGUUGGAACGCAGACAGAUCUCCGCACAGCUCGCUAAAUAGACUAGUCCGAUGCGGAUUCACACCGAGUGGCGGCGCUGGCCAUUCAAGCGUCCAACGUGUGCCAGUUCAAUUAACGCAAAUCAAAACGCCUCAUUGAAAAGCGGGCCGCAAAUUGGCCAGCGCCACAGCCGGUUGCAUGUUGUUGUGCGGCGUUCACUCAAUUUAGGCUUUUAUUGUGUUUGUGACAAAUGUGCCCACGAUUGCUCCGCCGAUCUGCAUGUUCCCCCAACUGGUCGGUCGUUAACUUUAUUGUUUAUUCGAUUCGCUUUUUUGGUUUGGUUUUUAUUGCUGACACCCCGCUCCCCGCACGCAACAAUGUGACAGUCAUGGGCCACGCAACAUUUCAUAGUUGAAGAAAGGCAUUUUGUUUGCUUUCAAAACAAUAUAUUAUUAUAGACUAUAUUUCCAUUCAUAUUAAAAUUCGAAAUUGCAGACCUUUUCUAAUUUAUAACAUAAAGGAGUCAUGUACUUGAUUUCCAGCAUAUUUGAAAUAUUUUGCUACGUUCAUUUUGUUCUUUUCUAAUAACCAAGCUUUAAUACUCUAUGCUCAAGACCUUUUUACGGUACUCGAAUACAUUUUAUUUUAUUUUUACUCAAAUUACAUUUCAGUGAAAUUGCUUGUUUGAAGUCUUCCAACUCGCAAGCCAGAAGUAUUGAUUAUUGUUUUAAUAUUAAAUACCCUGUAUUACGUAUUUACUGUGCUAGGCCUAUUUAUAUUGACCAACACUCAUUCAUCUGCUUGGGCUGACGACAGUGUUUGAAAAUAUAUAUAUAAAUGUGCAUACAUACGUAUGUUGCUCUCGUCCAAAUGAUGUCGAUCAGUGUGCUUACUCAUAAACUCAUAUUCGUGAGGGCGCAGAAAGGACAAAGAAAUUGCAUGUGAAAACGCAUACAAACUGCCUUGAACCCAAAAACGGCUAGCCAGGCAGUCGCAUUACAUGUUAUCUAUUUCGCACUCGCUCCCACUCGCACUUGCAGCGCAAAGCUUUCGCCCCAAUGUUAGCACAUUGCUCAAGUUGCGUUAAGCUCCUCGUCUAGACGCACUUUAAUACACAUGUACACAAGCACAGCUACAUGCAUGUGUACGUACAUGUAUGUAUGUGUAUGUUCAUUUUGUUGUUAUUGUUGCGCACUGCAAUCCGUUGCGCUUUGACGAAGUGACCUUGUUUCUUAUUCGCGCUUCGCCGACGCCGCUGCACUUGUCAUCGCAGUUUGUUUUUGUUGUUCUUUAUUUCUUCGUUGAUUUGUUUGUGCUGCAUCUUUUGUGUCGUUCACCUGUUUUCUUGUUUUCUUAAAGCCUUUCGUGUGAUGGUCUUAAAUCUUAUUUUCUCACAUUUCUCGUUACAUUUGCCCGUGUUAUGUUAGUUUACAUAGAUAUUUUAGUGUGGCUGUCGCCAAUUUUGGGCCAAAUAUACUUGAUGCUCUGCCAAUUGGCCUUUCAACCGGCUGGUCUGUCAUUCAAUUUUAUUAUACUUAUCUGCUUGGCAAAGACGUCAAAAAAUAUUUGUUAAGAGCCUGUAUUCAAUUUCUUAUCAAGCCAAUAUAAACAGCAUUAAGUGACAGCUGAUUAGAUUAUAGCUAAAGAUGGUUUACUGGCUGUGGAACCUUAUCCAGAAACAGCAGCGCAAAGGUCUUCAAUAUCAAAACAAACCCAACCAUAAGAUGAAGAAGCAGAGAAGAAAAUGUACAUCAACAAUUUACCCACAAGGCUUCAAUUACUUAUUUUGUUAAUUCCGUUUGACUAUGUCAGCAACAUUCCCGCAGAAUGAAAACAUAAUUCGAGAUGGCAAAUCGCGUACUCUGGGGAAUGCUUCCUGUUAGAGCACAAUAAAAAAUGCUGCGCACGCGUGAAAGACAAAUCCAAUUUGUACAUGCAUGUGUGUGUGUGUGUGUGUGUGUAUGGGUGUUUCUGUUAAAUGGCAAAAAUUUGCAGAAAACUGCGACGCAAAAGGCCAAAGCAAAACAAAAUCCAAAACUACUUUGCGCCAGCUCAGGUUAUUGCUGUCUUUUGAGUUUCGCAUGAAAGUUGUUUUGAUAUUCGAUAUGUUUUUUUUUUUUUUAA